rnacentral:snoRNA from 1 species
UAUCCAUGGUGGGGGCAAAGAGUUUACAACUCUUUAUAUCUCUCCCAGGGUUGAUAUAAGGCUUCGUUAUCCUUUUGGGCAAAUGAAGAAAUUUGCUUCUUAACGGCA